rnacentral:rRNA from 1 species
AUUGAACGCUGGCGGCAGGCCUAACACAUGCAAGUCGAGCGGACCUGGGGACGGACGAGUAAUUCCUAUGAAUCUGCCUCGUACUGGUGGAUUACGUCCCGAAACGAGCGCUAAUACCUCAUACUAUCUGUUUAGCUUAGGCCGAAUUAGCUAGUUGGUGGGGUAAAGGCCUACAAAGGCGACGAACCGUGACUGGUCUGAGAGGAUGAUCAUUCACACUGGAACUGAGACACGGUCCAGACUCCUACGGGAGGCAGCAGUGGGGAAUAUUGGACAAGGGGCGAAAGCCUGAUGCAGCCAUGCCGCGUGUGUGAAGAAGGUCUUCGGGGUGUAAAGUACUUUAAGUUGGGAGGCGUUAACAACAGAAGAAGCAACGGCUAACUUCGUGCCAGCAGCCGCGGUAAUAC